UACGUAGGCAGCAAGCGUUGUUCGGAGUUACUGGGCGUAAAGGGUGUGUAGGCGGUUCUUUAAGUUUGGUGUGAAAUCUCCCGGCUCAACCGGGAGGGUGCGCCGAAUACUGUGGGACUAGAGUGCGGGAGAGGAAAGUGGAAUUCCUGGUGUAGCGGUGAAAUGCGUAGAUAUCAGGAGGAACACCGGUGGUGUAGACGGCUUUCUGGACCGUAACUGACGCUGAAACACGAAAGCGUGGGUAGCAAACAGG
rnacentral:rRNA from 1 species